rnacentral:lncRNA from 1 species
AUAGUUUGAAAUUAAUUAUUUUGCCUAAUUUAUUUGGUUGCUGUCUACUUUGACUUUGUCUGCAACAUAGAUGCUGAUGGCACUUUGAUGAGUUUUCCCACAUACCAUUGCCCAUGUAUCGAGCCUAAUUGGUGUAUAAGAUGUCAACUCAAUUCAAGUGGCUAAUGUGUUUCCUUUGGAUUUUUGUCGACUUCCAAAGUAGAUUUAGAAAUCCUUUUGGUUUCUGCAUAGUAAUUUGGUGUCCUUUCAAUGAGACCAAUAUUACAUGCAGUUUUCAAGAUCUAAAGCGGACAGGAAUUACAGUAUGUAAUUGAAGAGAUAUCAAGGAUUCGUAGUUGGAAUAUAAUAUAGAGCUAGGAUAGUUGGGGCAUUCAGAGCAACAUAGAGACCUUGGGUACUGCAGGCGCAUUAGAGCGGAGGAGG